GAUGAACGCUGGCGGCGUGCCUAAUACAUGCAAGUCGAGCGAACAGAUGAGGAGCUUGCUCCUCUGACGUUAGCGGCGGACGGGUGAGUAACACGUGGAUAACCUACCUAUAAGAGUGGGAUAACUUCGGGAAACCGGAGCUAAUACCGGAUAAUAUAUUGAACCGCAUGGUUCAAUAGUGAAAGACGGUUUUGCUGUCACUUAUAGAUGGAUCCGCGCCGCUUUAGCUAGUUGGUAAGGUAACGGCUUACCAAGGCAAGGAUGCGUAGCCGACCUGUGAGGGGCUUCGGCCACUCUGGAACUUGAUCAGGUGCCUGAUUCCUACGGGAGGGCGCAGAAGGCUACCUCCGGCAAUGGGCGGGAGCCUGACGGUGCACCGCCGCGUGCGUUACCAGGGCCUUCGGCUCGUGAGCCUCUGUUUUCAGGUGAGACCAAAUGUGGAAGGAACUAUGCCCGUCUUGACGGUACCUAAUCAGAAAGCAACGGCUAACUACGUG
rnacentral:rRNA from 1 species